rnacentral:tRNA from 1 species
GCCUGGGUAGCUUGGUCAGUUGAGCGUCUGACUUCGGCUCAGGUCAUGAUCUCAUGUUUCAUGGGUUCGAGCCCCAUGUUGGGCU